AAUGUCUGAAUAUUGAAUGACUUUAUACUACUUUUAUAAGAAAGAACAACAAAGGUUUAAAAAUGUAACAGUAACAUUAUUCUCUCAGGCAAAAUGCCAUUUAAUAUAUUUAAUAUAUCAUGUUAUAUAUUUCAUAUAACAUACUGAUCCACAAAACUCAAAAUUUUAAAACUCAAUCUUACAAAGAAGGCCUGAAAUAGUUGCUUGCUUUUCUUGUUCCCUU
rnacentral:lncRNA from 1 species